AGCGACCGCCCUGGCAGCUUAACUAACCUACCUACCCAAGGGCACUCCGUGGAGAGGGCAGAGGAAGAACCUGAGCUGGGCUCUUCCAGGUUGGUGAGCCUCACCUCAGGCUGGAUCCAAGGGGCUUACUGGCACUCAGGGAGGGGUAUGGCUUUGGCCAUUAGGAGGAAGAGGAAGCAGUGUCCCAUCUUAUUUAAAGAAAGAACAGAAGAUCCCUUCCUUUCCGUAAAUACAGGCGGUAUAGGAAAGGCAUUGGAGCUGAGGAUGGAGGGGAUCAGCAAGGUCAAUAAAUGGGACGCACGGCCUGCCGCCCAGUCAGCCCUGGGCUCCCGGCCACAAGGCCCCAUGGCCACCGCCUGCACUGAUUGCACCACGGAGAGCCAGAAUCAACAAACGCUCUCACCAAGUGAGCGCCCAGGGCCCCCAGGAGGCCUGACCUAAGCCCACAGUAAUCCCUGCAAAGCAGAGCACCCUCAAUUAACUGACUAAUUGUUCCUUCCUGCCUGGAAAGCUAGCUGGUUUCACAAGAAACCUGUCUCCCAGCAAUGACUCCUCCAGCACGAGUGUCAAAUGGCUGGAAGAGGACGGGUGGCCUCCAGAGAGUGGGAGGACCACGGAGAGGGCUGAUGGAAUUUCCUUCUCUCCCCUCCUAACACCGCCUAUCUGUUCCCAGAGUCCGGUGGCCACAAAAUUCUGACUCUAAGUGCAGGCUGUGCCCAGAGCUCCACACCCUAUGAUUCAUUAGGCAGAAAAGGUGGCUGCACAGCCUGGGGAGCCCCAAGCACCCUCGAUUUGGUUUCCAGAGCUCUGUUGAGAGGGGAGGCCAGCAUGGAGGCCUGGCUGGAGCUUCCCCCUCCCAUCCCUGGUCUGCUGCAUUGGCAACAUGCUUGGAGAUUUAAGAGACAUGAUUCCUAAAAUGCAUAACCAGGCCCUCUCCCCUAUACCUCCUUUCCUUCCAUCAUUCUGAAAUCUUUACCCUGUCCUGGAAAAACCUUGUGUGCUGCAUGGCUCAAGAACACACUAUGGCGAAGUUUGAGAAACUAACUUCUUAGACUUUUGAGAGGAUGAGUCUAAGAAGAGUCUUCCUGGAAGACCUCCGAGUGCCCUGCCCACCACCCGAGGUCUGCAGGGCUGUCCCUGUGUGCAGCAAGACGGAGGGGCAGGUGCUCCUGACACGUCCGUGAGCCUGGGCAGUUUCAGCAGGAGGCAAGGUCCUAGCCCUUCCUAACAAGAGGGGUUGCUCCAUCCUCUGGCUACACCAACAGCCUCCGCUGUCAGAACAGAGCGCUGGAAGCCACGCCAUGGGCACCGUCCAGGGAGCCCCAACAUCUACCUCCAUGAGAAAGGAGAGGCAGGAUGGACUCGUGGGUACCCAGGUCCCUCCCAGGACAACCCUGUUACCUCGAAGUCCAGGGCCAGGACGUCUGCAGAAGAAGCGCGGACCUCGGAGGCCGAGAGGGUCAGCCUUAUGUGUUAGAAGCACAUGGGACACUACCUAGCUCUGUCUUGGGGACAUCAGGAAAGGCUCCCUGGAAGAAGCAGCACCCACAGUGACACCUCACAGGAGCCAGUGAGGGGUGUCGGGGACUGAACACUCGUGUCCCUCCUGUUCUGUAUGCUGACGUCCCCCCACAGUGGAUGGUUUUAGGAGCUGGGCCUUUGGGAAGGGAUUAGGAUCAGAGGCGGUCAUGAGGGUGGGGCCCUCACGAUGGGAUCAGCGGCUUUAUAAGAAGAGACACCAGCACCAGCACUCCCCCCGCAGGCUUCCCCCCUCCCCAGCCCCCAGCGUACACAAGUGCUCUCUGCCAGGGGAGACGACGUAGGAAGGUGGCUGUCUGCAGACCAGGAGGACAGCCCUCACCUGAAGCCAGCCACGAAGAAAGGCCUGUGGUCUGAGCCCCCAGUCUGUGGUGGUCGCCAUGGUGACCUGGGAUGACUAAUGGCAGCAAAGGGAGAGGUCCCAGCAGAGGGGCUGUCCCUCCAGGGGCUUAGCCUAUUUGUCCCAGUGUCCCAGACAUCAUAUUCACCCAAUGACCUAUUAAUGUAGGUUCAUCUAAGUAAAAGAUACUCCAUUGGCCUAAUGUCCUAUUUAUAAGACAAUCCAUUUUCAUUCUUAACAAUAAUAAAGGACAGAUAGG